UGCCCAGUCUGCAGAGUAGGUGCUCUUUGCUGUUCUCACGCCCGCUCUGUUCUGUCUGUGCAU
ensembl:miRNA